AUGCAGCUUCCGACAUUGCAGCUUCAUGCUACUCGAAAUGGUCCCAUGGAGGUCCACCGGAAAGGGAGGGACUUCGGCUGAUGGUUAUGGUUAACCCGGUCCACUGUGGACCAGAUAUGUGGCUGUGUCUUUAAUAUCAAUAAGAGUGGCUUGUUAGCUAGUUCACUUUGCAACACGAAUCUUGAUUCGGUUAAAACCCCGUUAGAGACUGUGUAGGUUCGUCAGCGGAACAGCGGAAGAAGGAGGCAAUAAGAGAUGUCUCACUAUUCAUCCUCCCGCAGCUCGUCUCGGUCUACCGACUGUAAAGUGUACGUUGGUGACUUGGGCAAUGGUGCUGCCAAGGGGGAGCUGGAGCGAGCAUUCAGUUAUUAUGGCCCACUGAGGACCGUCUGGGUGGCCAGGAACCCACCUGGGUUUGCCUUUGUGGAGUUUGAGGAUCCAAGGGAUGCAGAAGAUGCUGUGAAGGGCAUGGAUGGAAAGAUUCUUUGUGGUUCCCGUGUUCGUGUGGAGCUCUCGACAGGCCUCUCCAGGAAGGGUCGUGGACGCCCCAGCCGACGCCAGUUUGACCCCAAGGAUCGGUGUUACCAGUGCGGGGACCGAGGCCACUACGCCUAUGACUGCUACCGCUUUAGCAAGAGAGGAGGCCGUCGCAGCAGGUCCCAUUCUCGUUCUAGAUCUCACUCAAGGUCCAGGUCCCGUGGGCGCCGGUAUCUCUCUCGCUCCCGCAGCCGUAGCCCCAGCCGGAGCCGCCGCCGAUCUCCAUCCUAUUCCAGACGCAGGAGCCGGUCUGGCUCUCCAGCCCGUUCCAAGUCCAGGACGUCGGUGAGAAGUCGUUCCAAGUCUCGGUCCACCUCUGCACCCAGAGGGCGCUCUUCGCCCAGAGGUCGUUCCCCACCCAGAGGUCGUUCCCCACCCAGAGGUCGUUCCCCACCCAGAGGUCGUUCCCCACCCAGAGGUCGCUCCCCCCCCAGAGGGCGCUCCGUCUCACGUUCUCACUCACGAUCUCAUUCAGCCGACCACAAAAGGAACAGCGUGUGGUGGGAGCUGAGCACUGCACUGACACCACAGCUGAUCCCAGGCCCAUGGUCUGCCAGCUGGCGGUGUGUACGUCCUGCGGGAGGGUGACUAAACGCUGACCUGAGAUCAGCCUUCUCCUGCAUCUGGUGUUAGACAGCGAGAAAGAGGUCGACCUUCCGACCUACCCCCGCACAGUGAAUGGGUGACCGUCUGUUCGACCGACGCACACGCUCAGACGAGAUCAGCCCGUGCACACAUUCAGUUGUUCUACUAGAGUCUUCAGAAGUACCAGAGGGCUGACCCACACAGAUCAUUUAAAUCCAUUACCUACCUACCAGACCCCCCUACCUACCAGAGUUCUUCGGCCUCUGUCUUAGCUUCUGAAAGGGAGAGAGAGCUGACGAGAGAUCAGACUUCAAGAGCCUCCCACCGCAGUCUCUCCGAGUUGUAGUCAUCCUUCGCUUCUCUGUACUUGUUGUUUCUGCCACUGUCUCCAAAGUCGUUCCCGUUCAGCAAGCCCUCACCGCAGCCCUACGCCUUCAGCCGACUGAGAGAAGAAGACUUAUUAUUCCCUAUCAGACUCAACCCCUGCACCUGUCUGCUCUCACUAGCUGACUAUUCCGAAUCUUUUUUAAGUUACAUUUUCUUCCCCAUGAUUGUAUUCUGUGUGCAGCUUUUGGUUGUUAGUCAGUAUAGUAAAAAGAGAAAUUAGUUUCUAUUUGAUUGUUUUAAUUGUUGCUUCUGCUGCAUAUCUUAUCUUCCUUAUUUAAAGUGGGGUAGCAGAAGCUACACUCCUGUUAAGGUAAUACUAAAUGUCGCCAUUGACUUUAAGCAAGGUUUUGAGCAGUUUAAAAGUAAACUUUAAGAUUGAGUUCUUGAGGUUAGAGACAUUGCAGUGAAAACUGUUUUUUUCCCUAAAAUGUGUCGAAUCUCAAACUAUUUUUCUCCAUUGAGAAUUGGCUGAAUAUUAUAAUAUUGUAAUGCCUCCAUUUUGAUUUCUGAAAUCUGAUGCUGUUAAAUGCUUCCUCUCAUGAUGGCAUACGGCCAUAUCCGCCAUGCCUUUUUAAAAUGAAGUCACAUUUGUACUGUUUGUUUCUGUCCUGCACUCUCCCUUUUAUCAACCUAAUCAGUUUCACUGUGUGCUGAAUUGAUGUUCCCCAUGUGUUGAUCUCAGAUGUGUUCCAGUCACUUUACAUUUUACAGUAUACACAGUGCUGAAUUUGAUUUAUGUAGGACUGCUUUAACAGCUUUGAGCUGUUCCUUGCUUAUAUGAUAGGACAGUGGCAGUUUUAUUUGAGAAUAAACCUCUUAAACAUA